rnacentral:misc_RNA from 1 species
CCCUUCAUUGAAGAGAUUCUGAUCACGGCCGCCCAUGUCACUUUCUACGAGUUUAAUAUCGAAAGCAACCAGUGGAGUAGAAAGGACGUUGAAGGAUCUCUAUUUGUCGUUAAGAGGAAUACUCAGCCCCGGUUUCAGUUCAUUGUAAUGAAUCGGCGAAAUACAGAAAACCUUGUGGAGAAUCUAUUGGGAGAUUUUGAGUAUGAAGUUCAAGUGCCAUAUUUAUUGUAUCGAAAUGCAGCCCAAGAAGUAAAGAGAUUGGCAACUUCCUCACACUCA